UGGGACAGCAAUGGCUAUUAGCCAAGAUGGUCAUGGACACAAUCCCAUGAUCUGGGUGUCCCUUAAAUUCUGACUGCCAGAAGCUGGGACUGGACGACAGGGGUGGAUCGCUCAGUGACUGAACUGCUCUGUUCUUUCACUCU